ACAGUGAGUGACAGUGACAGUGGCAGUGGCAACUCAAUAUUCAGUGUUUGACAGUGAUGAAGACGAAAAAAGAGUAUAAGUGGUUGCAGAUGACAAACUGUCGGUCAUUGUAGAAACACAAGACGUCAGAAAAACCACACCAUGUGGUAAAAAGAUGGAAAAUAAAAGCCCACUGAGGAUGCUGCAACUGUAGUGAAACAUGUUUGGGUUAUAAAACAAAACUGUGUUUUUGCUAAAGGCGGACCCUAUCCAAAAACAUAUAUAUUGUUAAAGCAAACACGGAAAAAAAGAGCUUCAAUACCAAGAUGAUUAUCAUGCACCCCUUUUUGACAAUCUUAACGUGGAGUAAUGAAUGCCCUGUUUCUUUGUGGUAUUGUAAUUAUGCACACCGUCGUUGCUUUUGAACUGCUGUGGAUUAUUUACUAUAAACUUCACGAGAGUAGAAAUAUACUGUGAAGCAGUAGUCAGAAUGCACAACUCCUUAAACAGAUGUGUAAAAGAAGAUCGUGAGGAGAGCUAGAAGAUCUACAAAUCGUCAGCAAAUGGUUGGUGUGGUAAUCCAGUGGUGUAAAAGAGAUCCUCAGUGAUUGUUUCCUGUGAAAGAUAGUGCAAACGUUUUGUGUUUAAAACUCACACUAAGAAAAAUGGCAACUAGUAAAUCUCGUUGCUGUCUAAACCACCCCGAUAACUUUUGUUAUGUGUGUAGGAAACCCACUCUAAAAGCCCAAAGCAAAGCAGUCACUGAUUUGGUUAAGAAGGCAUAUAAAGUGUAUUUUGAUUGUCCUGUUGGUGAUCAAGAUAAAAAUGUAUCACUUCAUACUGCCUGCAUAACCUGUACUACAGCCUUAACCGAGUGGUUGAAACGAAAACGCAAAGCCAUGUCAUUGAACAUAUAAAAGAGUACUGCCCUCAAUAUAAUGACACUUCGCCUCAGCUCUUUAAUCAAAAAGAACUGAAAGAUUUAGUUCGCGAUCUAAAACUUUCGAAACAGCAACCCGUACUCUUGGGGUCGAGACUGCAACAACGGAACCUUCUAGCUGCAGGGACAAAAAUUUCCUGUUUCAGAUCAAGAGGUGCUUUCUUCGCUCAGUAUUUCGAUAUGCAGAACUCAGUGUGUACAUGUAGAGAUGUCAGCAAUCUGAUGAUGCAGCUCGAUGUACAACAUAAUCCACAAGAGUGGCGAAUAUUUACUGACUCCAGUAAAACUAGUUUGGAAGCAGUACUACUGCAUAAAGGCAAUGCAUUUCUAUCGGUAUCAUAAGUUUCUUUCAUGUCUACUGCGUAAGCCAAAGAUAAAUUUACAGGCUGGAGUCUCGAAAUACUGCUUCUUUUUGUGCCUUUGAGACAGCCGUGACACCAAGAACCACUAUACAGUCAAGGAACGGCCUCUUGUCCCUGUAGCUAGAAGGUUCCGUUGUUGACGACCUAUAAGGAACUCAUAUACUCCUGGAAACGUAAAUGUGUACUAUACCACAGUGGUUGAUCCCGAUAAAAUCAUUUUGACUCCCCUUCAUAUCAAGUUGGGCCUUAUCAAGAGUUAUGUAAAAGCUCUGGAUAAAGAAGGUGAGACCUCCAAUCACUUAAAACAAAAGUUUCCCAAAUUAAGUGAGGCAAAGCAGAAAGACCACAAAUAAGAAAAUUGCUGAAAGAUCCAACCUUUGAUACAAACUCACAGAUAUCCAAUGAGCUGCUUGAUCUUCUUUUAAAGAAAUUGUGAAGGGCUUUUUGGUUAACAGAAAAGACAAAAAGUAUGUUACCACUGUGAAUGAUUUGUUGGAUAACUAUAAGAACAUGGGGUGUAGAAUGUCACUUAAAAUUCACUUUUUACAUUCUCAUCUUGAUUUCUUCCCAGAAAAUUUGGGAGCCGUAAGUGAUGAGCUUUCAUCAAGGUAUUCUUACGAUGGAACACCGUUUCCAAGGCCAUUGGAACCCUUUGAUGAAGGGUGACUACUGCUGGGGUCUUGUUAUGGAGAGUGAUGAAAUGGCAAACAAAAGAAGAGUUCCGUUGUCGCAUUUUUUCAAAAACCAAACACAAUUAAAAUUGAAAAUAUUUUCUGAACUAAUUUGAACCUUUAAUUGACUUCAUGCCCAUGUAUACAUACAAAAUAGUAUUGAUUUUAAACAUUCUUAAUGUGUAUUUUUGUUUGCUUAAUUGUGUCAAUUUUCGCUAUUACCAUUUUUUAUUCCACUGUGUAUCUAGGAAAUGCGACGCAUUGAGGAAAACUGAUUUUACCAGCGUAUUUAGCACCCCAAAAUUAGGUAAAUCCACCCAUUUACAAAGCUGAUGCAGCAAAAAAGUAUGAAUUUGUUAACUAGUGACAGUUGAUAGCUUACCAUUACUUACAUCUUUUAAACCAUUUGCACAUUUCUGUACUUAGAUCAAUCUGAAGAUGAUGAAAACGACUGAAACGUGUAAUUGAAUAAAAAAAUAUUUGUGAUCAGUGAA